rnacentral:rRNA from 1 species
AGCAGUCGCCACGGGAAUACAGAGGGUGCGAGCGUUAAUCGGAUUUACUGGGCGUAAAGCGUGCGUAGGCGGCUUUUUAAGUCGGAUGUGAAAUCCCUGAGCUUAACUUAGGAAUUGCAUUCGAUACUGGGAAGCUAGAGUAUGGGAGAGGAUGGUAGAAUUCCAGGUGUAGCGGUGAAAUGCGUAGAGAUCUGGAGGAAUACCGAUGGCGAAGGCAGCCAUCUGGCCUAAUACUGACGCUGAGGUACGAAAGCAUGGGGAGUAAACAGGAUUAGAUACCCCAGUAGUCCCUGUCUCUUAUAC